GACGAACGCUGGCGGCGUGCUUAACACAUGCAAGUCGAACGGAAAGGCCCUGCUUUUGUGGGGUGCUCGAGUGGCGAACGGGUGAGUAACACGUGAGUAACCUGCCCUUGACUUUGGGAUAACUUCAGGAAACUGGGGCUAAUACCGGAUAGGAGCUCCUGCUGCAUGGUGGGGGUUGGAAAGUUUCGGCGGUUGGGGAUGGACUCGCGGCUUAUCAGCUUGUUGGUGGGGUAGUGGCUUACCAAGGCUUUGACGGGUAGCCGGCCUGAGAGGGUGACCGGCCACAUUGGGACUGAGAUACGGCCCAGACUCCUACGGGAGGCAGCAGUGGGGAAUAUUGCACAAUGGGCGGAAGCCUGAUGCAGCAACGCCGCGUGCGGGAUGACGGCCUUAGGGUUGUAAACCGCUUUCGCCUGUGACGAAGCGUGAGUGACGGUAAUGGGUAAAGAAGCACAGGCUAACUACGUG
rnacentral:rRNA from 1 species